rnacentral:lncRNA from 1 species
AUGACCCAGUUUUGUGGAGCCCGUUAUCGACAGUUUCUUAAUGUAGAUUGCUUGCAGGUGUUUGUGGAGUGUGACUUCCUGUCUUAAGAUUCAUUGCAUGUUAUUCUGGGGAAGCAUUUCAAGAAACUCGACAUGCUGUUGGCAUUUGGAAAAAUAGUUAUUAAUCCCUGAGUAUAUUUUCGGGUCUGCAAAGCAGAUGUCUGUGUAUCUGAGAAAAUCAAGUUCUGAGCCGCAAGCACAAGACCAGAGGAGUUGGAGAUGCUCCCAAAAGCUGAUCAAGAAGCAGGCUCUUUAUCUGCCUUCAAACUCUCUGUGUCCUUUAUGUUGAUAUAAAUUGAUAUGAAUAGAGAAGAGAGGAUAGGUUACUGGCAGGUGACUAAAGCCUGCUCAUAUAUUCACUCCAUGAAGGAAGCUGAUGAUACCCCAAGAAUUUAACCUCUCUCUGGAGAGAAAAAAAAAAGCCAGUUUGGAAGUCAGUCCCUACUGAAGAAUGCUAAUGGCAAAUGGUAACCAGAGGAUUCAGAGAGGAAAACAAAAGACCAAGGAAAGGAGACGAAGAGUGACUCAUCAUCACGUGUGGAAAUGUGGUUUAAGAAUGAUAUAUCAAGAACAGAAAAAUGGAGACAAUGUCUACAAUAAAAUCAAGCAAAUAUUCCUUGUUAAAGACGAGAAAGAUGCACAGCAAACAGCUUCCCAUUACUAAGUCUUGACUGUGCGUUGUAGGUCACUUGUAACUUUGUUCCUUUUAUCAUUUUAAUUUUGAAAGUGUAUACAGUGAGUCAUAGAUCAAUAUUAUAGGAGAGAGAGAGAAUGUAAUUCAGAUGGUCACCAAAUCCCUCAAAUAUAAAGACAGUGUACAGAUCUGAAAAUAUGAUAAUUCUAGAUGAGCUAUUUGGGAGUUAUUCAAGCAAACCUCAAUAUGACCAGGUCUCUAUUCAUCUGGUGUUUUGUUUUGUUUUCUUUUCUUUUUUGGUUUUUUGGGGUUUUUUUGUUUGUUUAUUUUAAGAUUCCAGUUAAUGUCAUUCCUUCCUGUAGCUGCUUUGUUCUGUUCUGUUGUCUUGUUUACUCUUUGCAGCCCUGAUCUUUUGGAGGCCAAACCACUGCACUUCACUUCCAUGUAUUCUUUGUGUUUGCUUUCUGUUCAUAUCUCACGCAAAGACUUUGUUGCUUCAUACUACUCAGAGUGGAAGUUUUAAUGUGGUAGUUUUAAUGUAAUUACUUCAGUCGCAGAGAAGUGUCUGAUUGUCUUCCAUAGCUAGAUUACAUUAUAUUAUGAAAUUUAGCCUAUUGAUUAUUGCAGUAAAAAUCCAAAGGCUUAUUAAGUACUUUGUAGGGGGGAUGGGAAAGAAAGUGAAAUUCAAUGAAGAUUAAUUAUAUAGCAUAAUGUUCUGUUAAUUGAGUUUUUAAAUAGUUUUUUGAUUAACAAGGAUAUUAUCUUCCCAUUUGGGAUGCUAUUUCACAUGUCAACUGCAUCUCAAAUAGACUUUUCUAAGGAAAAUUCCCAUGUUCUUAUGCAGUCUUCUUUUCUAUACUAAUAUUGAGGUUCAAAAUCCAUGCAUACCCCCAUGCCAAAUAGGUUAACAUUCAAAAAUUAAUGGAGGACAAUGGGAAUGACUAUAUAAAAGAGAACAUGAAGAUAAAUGAUAAUGUUGUGUUUUAAGCUGCCACACGUGAUGAUAAACUACCCAGAGAACAAGCCAGAAGAAAGAAAAUGCCAUUUCUCAUAUUAACAGCUGCAUGCUCCUUAGAGUUUUUUUCCCCCCACAAAGCUUUAAGAUCCUGAGUCAAAUGAAAAUGCUGUGAUAAUAAAGUCAAGUACGACCCCAGGCAACACAACCCUGGGGAACUGGAUUGAAUUCUCCAUCAAUUAUCUUUUGGAGGGACAGGGUGCUUAUCUCAUUAGUUGAGAAUAGCUACUAAUUCUACUAGAAUAGGUUUUUUAACUUCCUAACUUUUAAAGAAAAGCAAGCUCACAUUCCAUUGUGAAAUAGACCGAGAAGUUAUUUGCCACACAAAGACACAUUGCACUGUCUGGGUUACUUAUCCUGCCCGGCUGUGUAUGCUGAGAAAGGCAGAGGACUAAGGUGUUCGUGGUGGAAAUUAAGCAAAUACCUGGACACAAAACAAGGACAGUGUAUAUCCCGACACAGAGAGAAUCACUGCUAGUGUCUUUUAGAGGAAAAAGAAAAAUAUGUAAAUAAUGUGUUUAUUAACAGAAAUAUGAUAUAUUCUAGAAGAUGUUCUUAAGCCAGGUUUCAAAAUUUAAUAAUAUAGCAACAAAAAUACUUUUCUAGCUAAUUUUUAUUAAAAUACCAUAUUUUUUUAAUACCUGCAUAUUAUUCCCUCAUAUGAUUUGAUUCUUCUGUGGUUUAACAAUAAGUCUCCCACUAUUAGGCUUUCAAUUGUUAACACAUUCAUACUACAAAAUAUAUUCCGUAGUAUAUUAUAUUACAUGUCAUAGAUUCAGGAAAUACAUCUAUAUGGAUAGCUGUUGGUAUAUAAUAUACAUUCAGGUAAAAUGCAUACAUUACCCACAUGGCCUAUCACUUGUUAGAAAUAGUUAAACAAGGAAAUAGUAGAAGACUAU